rnacentral:rRNA from 1 species
UACGGAAGGCAGCAGUGGGGAAUAUUGCACAAUGGGCGCAAGCCUGAUGCAGCCAUGCCGCGUGUAUGAAGAAGGCCUUCGGGUUGUAAAGUACUUUUCAGCGGGGAGGAAGGCGGUGGAGUUAAUAGCUUCACCGAUUGACGUUACCCGCAGAAGAAGCACCGGCUAACUCCGUGCCAGCAGCCGCGGUAAUACGGAGGGUGCAAGCGUUAAUCGGAAUUACUGGGCGUAAAGCGCACGCAGGCGGUCUGUCAAGUCGGAUGUGAAAUCCCCGGGCUUAACCUGGGAACUGCAUUCGAAACUGGCAGGCUAGAGUCUUGUAGAGGGGGUAGAAUUCCAGGUGUAGCGGUGAAAUGCGUAGAGAUCUGGAGGAAUACCGGUGGCGAAGGCGGCCCCUGGGACAAAGCUGACGCUCAGGUGCGAAAGCGUGGGGAGCAAACGAGGAUUAGGAUACC